AUUCCAGCUCCAAUAGCGUAUAUGAAAGUUGUGGUUAAAAAGCUCCUAGUUGGAUUUCUGCUAGGGGCGAUCGGUCCACCCAUUGGGCGUGUAUCUGUGUCGGCCUUGGCAUCUUCUUGGCGAACGCAAUUGCACUUGACUGUGCGGUGCGGUAUCCAGGACUUUUACUUUUAGGAAAUUAGAGUGUUUCAAGCAGGCGCACGCCUUGAAUACAUUAUCAGGGAAUAAUAAGAUAGGACUUGAGUUCUAUUUUGUUGGUUUCUAGAGCUGAGGUAAUGAUUAAUAGGGAUAGUUGGGGGCAUUCGCAUUUAACGGUCAGAGGUGAAAUUCUUGGACUUGUCAAAGACGGACUACUGCGAAAGCAUUUGCCAAGGAUGUUUUCAUUA
rnacentral:rRNA from 1 species